CCCCUCUCAGGGUCACACUUGGAGAGUUUCCAGUACUCUAUUAGUCAUGGCUAUGGGAGAGAGAGUCAAGCAGAGUCUUACCCAUUCCAUUCCUAGCUUGGGCAGUGGCUAGCGAGUGGAAGGCAAUCUGCUACAAGU